rnacentral:rRNA from 1 species
CGUACCUUUUGUAUAAUGGGUCAGCGACUUAUAUUCUGUAGCAAGGUUAACCGAAUAGGGGAGCCGAAGGGAAACCGAGUCUUAACUGGGCGUUAAGUUGCAGGGUAUAGACCCGAAACCCGGUGAUCUAGCCAUGGGCAGGUUGAAGGUUGGGUAACACUAACUGGAGGACCGAACCGACUAAUGUUGAAAAAUUAGCGGAUGACUUGUGGCUGGGGGUGAAAGGCCAAUCAAACCGGGAGAUAGCUGGUUCUCCCCGAAAGCUAUUUAGGUAGCGCCUCGUGAAUUCAUCUCCGGGGGUAGAGCACUGUUUCGGCAAGGGGGUCAUCCCGACUUACCAACCCGAUGCAAACUGCGAAUACCGGAGAAUGUUAUCACGGGAGACACACGGCGGGUGCUAACGUCCGUCGUGAAGAGGGAAACAACCCAGACCGCCAGCUAAGGUCCCAAAGUCAUGGUUAAGUGGGAAACGAUGUGGGAAGGCCCAGACAGCCAGGAUGUUGGCUUAGAAGCAGCCAUCAUUUAAAGAAAGCGUAAUAGCUCACUGGUCGAGUCGGCCUGCGCGGAAGAUGUAACGGGGCUAAACCAUGCACCGAAGCUGCGGCAGCGACACUAUGUGUUGUUGGGUAGGGGAGCGUUCUGUAAGCCUGUGAAGGUGGCCUGUGAGGGUUGCUGGAGGUAUCAGAAGUGCGAAUGCUGACAUAAGUAACGAUAAAGCGGGUGAAAAGCCCGCUCGCCGGAAGACCAAGGGUUCCUGUCCAACGUUAAUCGGGGCAGGGUGAGUCGACCCCUAAGGCGAGGCCGAAAGGCGUAGUCGAUGGGAAACAGGUUAAUAUUCCUGUACUUGGUGUUACUGCGAAGGGGGGACGGAGAAGGCUAUGUUGGCCGGGCGACGGUUGUCCCGGUUUAAGCGUGUAGGCUGGUUUUCCAGGCAAAUCCGGAAAACCAAGGCUGAGGCGUGAUGACGAGGCACUACGGUGCUGAAGCGACAAAUGCCCUGCUUCCAGGAAAAGCCUCUAAGCAUCAGGUAACAUCAAAUCGUACCCCAAACCGACACAGGUGGUCAGGUAGAGAAUACCAAGGCGCUUGAGAGAACUCGGGUGAAGGAACUAGGCAAAAUGGUGCCGUAACUUCGGGAGAAGGCACGCUGAUAUGUAGGUGAAGCGACUUGCUCGUGGAGCUGAAAUCAGUCGAAGAUACCAGCUGGCUGCAACUGUUUAUUAAAAACACAGCACUGUGCAAACACGAAAGUGGACGUAUACGGUGUGACGCCUGCCCGGUGCCGGAAGGUUAAUUGAUGGGGUUAGCGGUAACGCGAAGCUCUUGAUCGAAGCCCCGGUAAACGGCGGCCGUAACUAUAACGGUCCUAAGGUAGCGAAAUUCCUUGUCGGGUAAGUUCCGACCUGCACGAAUGGCGUAAUGAUGGCCAGGCUGUCUCCACCCGAGACUCAGUGAAAUUGAACUCGCUGUGAAGAUGCAGUGUACCCGCGGCAAGACGGAAAGACCCCGUGAACCUUUACUAUAGCUUGACACUGAACAUUGAGCCUUGAUGUGUAGGAUAGGUGGGAGGCUUUGAAGUGUGGACGCCAGUCUGCAUGGAGCCGACCUUGAAAUACCACCCUUUAAUGUUUGAUGUUCUAACGUUGGCCCGUAAUCCGGGUUGCGGACAGUGUCUGGUGGGUAGUUUGACUGGGGCGGUCUCCUCCUAAAGAGUAACGGAGGAGCACGAAGGUUGGCUAAUCCUGGUCGGACAUCAGGAGGUUAGUGCAAUGGCAUAAGCCAGCUUGACUGCGAGCGUGACGGCGCGAGCAGGUGCGAAAGCAGGUCAUAGUGAUCCGGUGGUUCUGAAUGGAAGGGCCAUCGCUCAACGGAUAAAAGGUACUCCGGGGAUAACAGGCUGAUACCGCCCAAGAGUUCAUAUCGACGGCGGUGUUUGGCACCUCGAUGUCGGCUCAUCACAUCCUGGGGCUGAAGUAGGUCCCAAGGGUAUGGCUGUUCGCCAUUUAAAGUGGUACGCGAGCUGGGUUUAGAACGUCGUGAGACAGUUCGGUCCCUAUCUGCCGUGGGCGCUGGAGAACUGAGGGGGGCUGCUCCUAGUACGAGAGGACCGGAGUGGACGCAUCACUGGUGUUCGGGUUGUCAUGCCAAUGGCACUGCCCGGUAGCUAAAUGCGGAAGAGAUAAGUGCUGAAAGCAUCUAAGCACGAAACUUGCCCCGAGAUGAGUUCUCCCUGAGACUUAGAGUCUCCUGAAGGAACGUUGAAGACGACGACGUUGAUAGGCCGGGUGUGUAAGCGCAGCGAUGCGUUGAGCUAACCGGUACUAAUGAACCGUGAGGCUUAACCUU